rnacentral:rRNA from 1 species
AGUGAACGCUGGCGGUAGGCCUAACACAUGCAAGUCGAACGGCAGCACAGUAAGAGCUUGCUCUUACGGGUGGCGAGUGGCGGACGGGUGAGGAAUACAUCGGAAUCUACUUUUUCGUGGGGGAUAACGUAGGGAAACUUACGCUAAUACCGCAUACGACCUACGGGUGAAAGCAGGGGAUCUUCGGACCUUGCGCGAUUGAAUGAGCCGAUGUCGGAUUAGCUAGUUGGCGGGGUAAAGGCCCACCAAGGCGACGAUCCGUAGCUGGUCUGAGAGGAUGUUCGGCCAAACGGGAACUGAGACACGGUCAAGACUCCUACGGGAGGCAGCAGUGGGGAAUAUUGGACAAUGGGCGCAAGCCUGAUCCAGCCAUCCCGCGUGGGUGAGGAAGGCCUUCGGGUUGUAAAGCCCUUUUGUUGGGAAAGAAAAGCAGCAGGUUAAUACCCCGCUGUUCUGACGGUACCCAAAGAAUAAGCACCGGCUAACUUCGCG